CCUACGGCGGGCUGCAGUGGGGAAUAUUGGACAAUGGGGGGAACCCUGAUCCAGCCAUGCCGCGUGUGUGAAGAAGGCCCUCGGGUUGUAAAGCACUUUCAGUGAGGAAGAACGCCUGGUGGUUAAUACCCAUCAGGAAAGACAUCACUCACAGAAGAAGCACCGGCUAACUCCGUGCCAGCAGCCGCGGUAAUACGGAGGGUGCGAGCGUUAAUCGGAAUUACUGGGCGUAAAGCGCGCGUAGGUGGCUUGAUAAGCCGGUUGUGAAAGCCCCGGGCUCAACCUGGGAACGGCAUCCGGAACUGUCAAGCUAGAGUGCAGGAGAGGAAGGUAGAAUUCCCGGUGUAGCGGUGAAAUGCGUAGAGAUCGGGAGGAAUACCAGUGGCGAAGGCGGCCUUCUGGACUGACACUGACACUGAGGUGCGAAAGCGUGGGUAGCAAACAGGAUUAGAUACCCGGGUAGUC
rnacentral:rRNA from 1 species